UACGAAGGGGCUAGCGUUGCUCGGAAUUACUGGGCGUAAAGCGCACGUAGGCGGCUCGUUAAGUCGGAGGUGAAUCCUGGAGCUCAACUCCAGAACUGCCUUCGAUACUGAUGAGCUCGAGUUCGGGAGAGGUGAGUGGAACUGCGAGUGUAGAGGUGAAAUUCGUAGAUAUUCGCAAGAACACCAGUGGCGAAGGCGGCUCGACUGGCCCGAGUACUGACGCUGAGGUGCGAAAGCGUGGGGAGCAACAGG
rnacentral:rRNA from 1 species